rnacentral:rRNA from 1 species
GAUGAACGCCGGCGGUGUGCCUAAUACAUGCAAGUCGAACGCGUUGGCCCAAUUGAUUGACGGUGCUUGCAUCUGAUUGAUUUUGGUCGCCAACGAGUGGCGGACGGGUGAGUAACACGUAGGUAACCUGCCCAGAAGCGGGGGACAACAUUUGGAAACAGAUGCUAAUACCGCAUAACAGCGUUGUUCGCAUGAACAACGCUUAAAAGAUGGCUUCUCGCUAUCACUUCUGGAUGGACCUGCGGUGCAUUAGCUUGUUGGUGGGGUAACGGCCUACCAAGGCGAUGAUGCAUAGCCGAGUUGAGAGACUGAUCGGCCACAAUGGGACUGAGACACGGCCCAUACUCCUACGGGAGGCAGCAGUAGGGAAUCUUCCACAAUGGGCGCAAGCCUGAUGGAGCAACACCGCGUGAGUGAAGAAGGGUUUCGGCUCGUAAAGCUCUGUUGUUAAAGAAGAACACGUAUGAGAGUAACUGUUCAUACGUUGACGGUAUUUAACCAGAAAGUCACGGCUAACUACGUGCCAGCAGCCGCGGUAAUACGUAGGUGGCAAGCGUUAUCCGGAUUUAUUGGGCGUAAAGAGAGUGCAGGCGGUUUUCUAAGUCUGAUGUGAAAGCCUUCGGCUUAACCGGAGAAGUGCAUCGGAAACUGGAUAACUUGAGUGCAGAAGAGGGUAGUGGAACUCCAUGUGUAGCGGUGGAAUGCGUAGAUAUAUGGAAGAACACCAGUGGCGAAGGCGGCUACCUGGUCUGCAACUGACGCUGAGACUCGAAAGCAUGGGUAGCGAACAGG